rnacentral:rRNA from 1 species
UGCAUUCUGGGCGAUUUUCCUAAUGAACCCACAUUAUUUUUAUAUUUUUUUUAAAAUUUUUAUUUAAUAUCCUUAAAUUUAAAUAUUUUAUAUCGUUACAUUAUACGUACAAAUAUGCACUCGACUGUUGGUUUAAGGUUAGUUUAUGCGCUGACAAUAUUUUCCUAAUUUUUUCAUAUUUUUAUAGAUAUUUUUUCUAUUUUUGAUUUAUUUUUACAUAUUUUUUGAAUUUUAAUUAAUGAUAUUUGUAAAAAAAUAUUUUCUCAACGAAAAUUAUCAUUUACAAAUUACGCGACCUUUUUGUGAGUGCACAGGCUCCGUAUCUCAUCAAAAUGUGCAGUUCGGGUCCGCAUAUGUCUGGUAUGAUUCUCUGGAAAAAUCAUGUCUACUCCUGUCACUUGGGUUUUUUUUUUGAAGAAUAUAUAAGGGGGGUAGAGGUGUUGAAGGCACUUCAAGGCGACUGUCGGUAGUUGGCAUAGGCGCUCAGUGGCCAUGUCGGCGAGCAGCGUGAGAGCAUGGCAGCAUGCAUGGCUAUUCCGUUCGAGCCGCCCAUGCCCGUGUAGCAAUGUCGGCGGCGCUUCAUUGUACGCUCGUGUCGGUUAUCGGUGUCGUCGUCCACGACAUGGCUGCUGGCGCUAGACUUCGGAUGAGGCGGUGCCUUCGUGCGAGCAGUGAGUACUGGCCUUAACUGGCCGGGUCGUGCCUCCAGCGCUGUUACUUUGAAGAAAUUAGAGUGCUCAAAGCAAGCCUACGCUCUGUAUACAUUAGCAUGGGAUAACAUUAUAGGAUUUUGGUGCUAUUACGUUGGCCUUCGGGAUCGUAGUAAUGAUUAAAAGAGACAGUCGGGGGCAUUCGUAUUUCAUAGUCAGAGGUAAAAUUCUUGGAUUUAUGAUAGACGAACAACUGCGAAAGCAUUUGCCAAGGAUGUUUUCAUUAAUCAAGAAUGAAAGUUGGGGGCUCGAAGGCGAUCAGAUACCGUCCUAGUCUCAACCAUAAACGAUGCCGACCAGGGAUCGGCGGAUGUUGCUUUUAGGACUCCGCCGGCACCUUAUGAGAAAUCAAAGUUUUUGGGUUCCGGGGGGAGUAUGGUCGCAAGGCUGAAACUUAAAGGAAUUGACGGANUUUGACGGAAGGGCACCACUAGGAGUGGAGCCUGCGGCUCAAUUUGACUCAACACGGGGAAACUUACCAGGUCCAGACAUAGUAAGGAUUGAUAGAGUGAGAGCUCUUUCUUGAUUCUAUGGGUGGUGGUGCAUGGCCGUUCUUAGUUGGUGGAGCGAUUUGUAUGGUUAAUUCCGUUAACGAACGAGACCUCAGCCUGCUAACUAGCUAUGNAAGCCUACUAACUAACUAUGCAGAGGUAUCCCUUCGCGGCCAGCUUCUUAGAGGGACUGCGGCCUUUUAGACUGCGGAAGUUUGAGGCAAUAACAGGUCUAUGAUGCCCUUAGAUGUUCUGGGCUGCACGCACACUACACUGAUGUAUUCAAUGAGUUUAAAGCCUUGGCCGACAGGCUCGGGUAAUCUUUGAAAUUUCAUCGUGAUGGGGAUAGAUCAUUGCAAUUGUUGGUCUUCAACGAGGAAUUCCUAGUAAGCGCGAGUCAUCAGCUCGCGCUGACUACGUCCCUGCCCUUUGUANGUCGCGCUGACUACGUCCCUACCCUUUGUACACACCGCCCAUCGCUCCUACUGAUUCAAUGAUCCGGUGAAAUGUUCGGAUCGCGUCGACGUGGGCGGUUCGCUGCCCGCGACGUCGCGAGAAGUCCAUUGAACCUUAUCAUUUAGAGGAAGGAGAAGUCGUAACAAGGUUUCCGUAGGUGAACCUGCGGAAG